GACGAACGCUGGCGGCGUGCUUAACACAUGCAAGUCGAACGGUGACGCACCUUCGGGUGCUGAUCAGUGGCGAACGGGUGAGUAACACGUGGGCAACCUGCCCCUGACUCUGGGAUAACUCCUCGAAAGUGGUGCUAAUACCGGAUACCACCCUCCUCGGCAUCGGGGAGGGUUGAAAGAACUUCGGUCAGGGAUGGGCCCGCGGCCUAUCAGCUAGUUGGUGGGGUAGUGGCCCACCAAGGCGACGACGGGUAGCCGGCCUGAGAGGGCGACCGGCCACACUGGGACUGAGACACGGCCCAGACUCCUACGGGAGGCAGCAGUGGGGAAUAUUGCGCAAUGGGCGAAAGCCUGACGCAGCAACGCCGCGUGAGGGAUGACGGCCUUCGGGUUGUAAACCUCUUUCAGCGGGGACGAAGCGAAAGUGACUGUACCCGCAGAAGAAGCGCCGGCUAACUACGUGCCAGCCGCCGCGGUAAGAC
rnacentral:rRNA from 1 species